rnacentral:lncRNA from 1 species
UACAGACACAGAGAUUAAGGGUGUGAGGCUGCUUAGCUCCUGCUGCUCUGGGGAGUUCUGGGAUCUGCGGGAGGAGGGAGAAAGAGAAGAAAAGGCAGACACCCCAAAUUCAACCAGCACAUAUGCAAAAUAGCCAGUGAAGCUGUAGCAGAAAGACAGUUGGGCUGGGAAUUGAGAUCUGAGUUCUCAUCUUGGGCCAGAAGUUAAUUUACUGCCUGAUCAUAGACAAGUCACUUCUUCCUCCUUGGAACUCAGUUUCCUCUUCAGUAAAUUGAGUGGAGUGGGCUAGGUGACUUUGAAGCUGCCCUGUGAAAGAAAAGGGAUUCUUACAGUGAGUGAGAUAGCCUCUCAGGUCCCCUGCUCCAGUUCUAAGAUUCUGGGAUUAUAAGUCAUGGGCACUUAAGAGGAAAAGUGAAUUGAGUGUUGGAGUUGGAGUAGGAAGAGUCAUCAAAUGGUACCUGCUUGUUUUCAUCUGUCCAUUCUACAGGGGGAAGGAAAUCUUUAGGCUUGGGCUAGACAUUCCCCUAGCUGAGAGUGUGGUCUCUGCUCAUGACAUAGCUUCUUAGGACCACAGUCAAAACUCCAGCCUGGCAUGGGCCCACCACAAGCACAGGAGAGUUUGUUGACUGCUCCAUUAAACUAAUUCAUACUAAGGAGUUGAUGACUGACUCCACCUGCAGGAGGAGGAAGCAUUUUUAAGAGAGGUAAUCUCUUAUCCCAGAGGGAAUGAAUCUUUCAUAAUGGAAUUCCAGGCCCUGUGGAAUGUGGGU